CUCCCUCGUUGCUGAUCUCAGGUUCGAUAAUGCCAAUAUCGCACCACCUCGCCUGAAACCAACUUCGAUGAAGCGACGGGCGGUGUGUG
rnacentral:rRNA from 1 species